UCUGUAAAAUCAAAUGUAAUUGAAGACAAUUAGUAAAGCAAUGUUAUUAGCAUCAUCAUAUUUCCCUUGCCAUCCCUUUCUCCUUUUUCUACAAUCAAGAACAAAUUUUCCACAUCAGAAUAACACUGUAGAAAGUAAACCUGUAUUUGUGUACAUACUUAAAAUCUAAAAUGUGGAACAUUCAAACAUUAUAUAAGAAAUAAGAUGUUUAUGUGUGUAUAUUUUCUUUCACGACUGUCAAAAUUAACUGUAAGCCUAAGCACUUGAGUAUAACAUCUGCUAAGUGUAAAAAAUCCUGUAAAUUAUCCAACAGCACCAAGUACUCAUGUCUGUUUUUCUCCUUACUGCCUGUGACAAAAUGGAAAGGCCAACAAUAACAAUCUUUACUCUGACUCAGUGAUUUACUACAGCGAUGCACAUGACUCUUACUAACUUACUAACAACUUACUAACAACUGGGACAUCCCUGCAUUCCAGCUAGCUGGACUCUAGACUGCUCUUCUGCAAAUGCAUAUUAAUACGUGCCCUGGGUAUGAAUAUGGUUAGAAAAGUUGUAUGAGAGAAAAUUAAAAUUUUGGAAAGUUAAAAGCUUCUUAUGCUACCACUAAAGUAAUUUGAACUUUGUUAUUCAAACAAAAAUAUUCUCAAUUACCUGUGCUAAUGGGGGAGUGGUAAUGUUUAUUAUAGCUAUUAUGGUUAACAUGUUCCUAAGGUGUAGCCAUUGUAACAGCCUAAAGAUUUCAAAGAUCAUUUGAAAGAAACUGGUUUUUUUUCUUGUUGUUUUUUUUUUUUCCCCCAGCUCAGAAAAGAAAGCCUGCAUCUUAAGCAGAAAACAGUAGUACCUUAAGGAAGAUUCGUCCUCGUAUUAGUCCAUAUGGAACAGGUCCAUAGUACCUGGAAUCUGUAGAAUUCUGUAGAUUAUCACCUUCUAACCAGACAUGACCCUUUGGCACCUAGAAUUAGAGAAGAAAGCACCCCCUUUCAAAACAAAUAUGGAUGCUAUGAAUAAAAAAAUUUUAUGUCUUUUGGAGGUAGCAAGGAAUGUCCUAAAGUUCUUUUGUAAAAUAUAGUCAGACCCUAUGGUUUGCAUUUUUGCUAUUAUCUCUGGCAAAAUAAAAUAAAUUUUACUAAAUAUUAGUAAGGAGUAUUAAUAUUUCAACUUUUAAAAAGACCUCUUUUGCCACAUGGUUCCCAAACAUUAAUUUGUUAUACAAACCCCAAACUGAAGUUAUGAGAGAUCAAAACAGUGUGACAGGGUCAUUAAUUUAAUAGACUUCAAAAGAGGUCAUUAGGAUGCUGACUGAAAAUGUGCCCCCCCUGUCUCAAUAACAGCAUAAGCAGGGCAGCCACUCACUCAGCAACAUCCUGGGGCCAAUACCAAGGCCAGACCUAUUAGAAUGUUCAUGAUGAACUAACUGGUAAUUGAUUGUGACAUCAAUUACAAAUAAUCUCAUCAUUUUAUUGGAGUGGGCUUGUCAGAAUUCUAAUUAAGAUCCUUGUUCUGCCUUUGUACAGGCCAUAUCUUCAAUGUAUUAUAUACUUCAGUAAUGACCAUCAAGAACUAGAAGGACCUAUUAUAAAAUCAUCAGUUGUGAAAUUAAUGAUGGUGACCCUCUACUAAAUGAAAAGAUCUUAUAUAUGUCCUGUGUAUUAACUGUUUUUGUUACCCAAGAAAGCUGAAUUACUGACUAGCCAAAACGAUCUAUUGGGAAGGAAUUAAUUUUCACUAUUCUUUUGACCAGUUAUUACCUGGGAACCUUAUGUGAAGAAAAAUAGUCCUAUUAGAUUUAGUAAGAAAUGACUGAUUUUUUAAAUGUCACAAUUUGUUUUUUUAAAGACCAUCUUUUAGAGCAGUUUUAGGUUCACAGCAUGAGAGAAAGGUACGGAGAUUUCCCGUAUGCCUCCCACCCCCACACAUGCGUGGCCUCCCUGUUACUGUCAUCCCCCACUAGAGUGGCAUAUUUGUUACACCUGGUGAACUCACACUACCAUCAUAAUCACCCAAAGUCCCAUAGUUUACUUAGGGUUCACUCUAGGUGUUGUACAUUCUGUGAAUUUGGAUGAGUGUACAACAUGGAUCCUCUACCACAGUAUUAUACAGGAUAUUUUCACUGCCCCCCAAAUCCUUUGUGAUCUGCCUAUUUCGUUUCUCCCCUCACCUCCACUGCCAUCACCUCUGAAUUUUAACUUUUGGGAAAAUUAAUUUGUACAAGCAUGUAAAAUAUGAAGUACACUUUACAUCAGAUAUAAUUUUGGAAUGUCUUUAUGUAGAAAUAUUAGCCCAAAAUGAAUCAAGCUAAAUAUUUUCAUUUAGAUACACUUAAGUGUCAAAUCUAUUUGAAGAGAAAGAAUAAAAGUGUUUUGAAAGAAUA